AGUCCAACAGCUCGUUAAGGCACUAAUUUGUAUUUUUAGACUUGAGCUGGUAUUUGUUUUAGAAAUGCAAAUUAUAAGCUGCCACAAAUAUUACAUUACUACACCUGAUGAUGGAAGUGGAAGUGGAAGGACAGGUCCCCUGAUCACCAGAAAGUUUUCAUAUUUGGCCUGAAUUCCAUACCCAUAAUCAGUUCUGGGCCACUUUGUUGGAAGAUAUCAUUGUUGCAGGUGGGCCAGAGAUCAAUUUCUUGGACUGCACUGAAGUUUCUCCAAGCUUUCAAACUUGACCAGAUGUACUACAUUUGAUGCCAAUUGUCUCGUGUCCUGAAAAAAAAGGAUGUAAAAACAUUUUCAACAACCACCUGAGUGUGGACUACAGAAAGUAAUAUAGCAGGUUUUUAUUUAUGUGACACCUUUCUUUACUUCAUUCUUUCUCUUACCUGUAUCACAUUUUCACUUUCUUUCUGCCCCACUUUGUGCGGUGUUUAGCGUGGAUAGAAUGGUACAAGUAGCAGUUGCCAUUAUAGUGGCUGGGUGCCAUCUAUCCUACUGAGAAUCUUUUACAAAAGUGAUCAAUAGACACUGGCAGGUAUUUGAGGAAUGACAACAACAGCGAGACAAACAGAGAUGAAGAGGGGGAGACAGACAGAGUAGGACAGCAAGUGUGCAUUUUCAAUGCAGAAUCUGCUACUGAUAUAAAUGUUUAUACCAACACCUUAAUGCAGUUCCCUUUAGUAUUAUACAUGGAGAGAGUUCAGAAAUGUCUUUAUUGGAAAUGCUCAUAUUUGGUUCCAUUUUGCUGCUUAUAUUUGGUUACAUUUAAUAUCACUCAGCCUGAGAGGAGAGACACCCUGAGAGAAGAGAGAGUCACAGAUAAUUAGAGUGCAUGAGAUGGAUUAGAUAAUAUUGUACUCAACCUGUGCCAGGAAAGGUGGUAAUGAUAAUUCUACCUCCUGCAUCUGUUAUGAGUCCUUGCUGUUGUUAAAAUUCUUUCAAAAAACAUUGUGUGCCUGAGUUUUUAAUAUUUAUGUCUCUAUUAUUAGUGGUCUCCUCUCAGGGUUCUGCAAUUCCGGAGAACACCCUUUGUAGUCUGCACUCUUUACAAGAUAGUUCACUCUUUGUUCACCUCUUAUCUCUGUUCACCUAUUUUGGUGCUGUCAUUCUCUGCUGUCUGAGUCAUCUUAUUGCUGUUCAAGCUCAGGUGUGCUGGUGCACACAUUAUGCCUUGUGUCGCACUCCAGGGCAUCGCUGCAUGCCAUUCAGAGGUGAGCCUGGAGUCAGCCAUCAUGGAGUUUCAGCUCUUUUCAGUGAGCCAGUGCACUUGCACAGCUCACCAAUGACAGCUGACUUUCAUUGGCAGUUUCUUUUUUUGUCUUUGCCAAGUGCUUAUUAUAUUGUUCAAUGAAAUGUCCUGUAAUGAUCAAACUUGCAUUGUGUUUGUUCAAAUAAAUGUAAGGACAGUAAAAAGGUAGAAAUGUUUCUACAAUUAAAGUAAUAACAGAAGAUGA